ACGCUCGACACCUACGGGAGCAGCAGUGGGGAAUAUUGCACAAUGGGGGAAACCCUGAUGCAGCGACGCCGCGUGAAGGAAGACGUAUUUCGGUAUGUAAACUUCUAUCAGCAGGGAAGAUAAUGACGGUACCUGACUAAGAAGCCCCGGCUAACUACGUGCCAGCAGCCGCGGUAAUCUGAGCGGGCUGGCAAGGC
rnacentral:rRNA from 1 species